AUUGAACGCUGGCGGCAGGCCUAACACAUGCAAGUCGAACGAGUGGCGGACGGGUGAGUAAUGUCUGGGAAACUGCCUGAUGGAGGGGGAUAACUACUGGAAACGGUAGCUAAUACCGCAUACCAUCAGAUGUGCCCAGAUGGGAUUAGCUAGUUGGUGGGGUAACGGCUCACCAAGGCGACGAUCCCUAGCUGGUCUGAGAGGAUGACCAGCCACACUGGAACUGAGACACGGUCCAGACUCCUACGGGAGGCAGCAGUGGGGAAUCUUGGGCAAUGGGCGCAAGCCUGAUGCAGCCAUGCCGCGUGUAUGAAGAAGGCCUUCGGGUUGUAAAGUUCUUUCGGUGGAGAGGCGUUACCUACAGAGGAAGCACCGGCUAACUCCGUGCCAGCAGCCGCGGUAAUUC
rnacentral:rRNA from 1 species